AUAAUAACAAUUUAAUUAAUAGAUUAAGAAUAAUCUAUUAUUAAAUUUGAGUAAAGUGGAAAAAUGUGAUAAUAUUACUCAGUAAUAAGGUCACUAAGGGUAUAUAAGGGAUCUUUUUUUCUGAUCGGGGUUUCAGUAUGUAUUUAAAGUUGAUAAUGGUAACAUUGUUCUGGAAUAAGUAUCUAUUAUUUAUUUAUUUUUUUUUUUUUGUGGCUUUUUGUGUAAAAUAUUUAUUAUAUUUUUAAUUUUAAAUUAUUAUUAUUUCAUAUAUAAAUAUUUUAUUUAUAUUUUAAUACUUUGAUCAAAUAGAGAGGAUUUUAAUAUUUUUUAUUAAUUAGACGAGAAAUAAAAAUACUUUAAUUAUAUUGAACACAAUCACCGUAUCAUGAGUAUAAACUAUAACGGCAUGGCAACCGUUACUAUGACAUCAUCAUAAGGUUUAACAAUAACGCAGGGUGUAACACAGAAUCCACUGUCCUGUUACGUCAACUUGUACAAAUAUACAUAAAACAUUAGAGCAAAAAGGUGUUAUGGCGCAGGUAAAAUGUUUACAAUUGAGUAUAGAUCGUCUGUUAAAUACAAUGUUACAACGAAAUAUAGUACACAGGACUGAUGUUUAUACACUAUCCAAUUUUUCAUGAGACCAUGGAAAUUAAAUCAUGCUGAAUGUAAGUAUCUAAAUACUACAUACAUCGUAAUUUUUAAACACAGGAAUCUUAAAAGUCAAACGUUUAAAAGUCGUGCAUUAUAUUCUGCUGAAAUAUUUCACAGAUUGAAUUUCUUGGAAUUCAAAAAUUAUUAUUGCUAGUAUACAGUCAGCAAGAUCUAAGAAAAACUAUAUACUUAAAAUUUG